GAUGAACGCUGGCGGCGUGCUUAACACAUGCAAGUCGAACGGUGAAGCAGAGCUUGCUCUGUGGAUCAGUGGCGAACGGGUGAGUAACACGUGAGCAACCUGCCCUGGACUCUGGGAUAAGCGCUGGAAACGGCGUCUAAUACUGGAUACGAGACGUGGCCGCAUGGUCAACGUUUGGAAAGAUUUUUUGGUUCAGGAUGGGCUCGCGGCCUAUCAGCUUGUUGGUGAGGUAAUGGCUCACCAAGGCGUCGACGGGUAGCCGGCCUGAGAGGGUGACCGGCCACACUGGGACUGAGACACGGCCCAGACUCCUACGGGAGGCAGCAGUGGGGAAUAUUGCACAAUGGGCGAAAGCCUGAUGCAGCAACGCCGCGUGAGGGAUGACGGCCUUCGGGUUGUAAACCUCUUUUAGCAAGGAAGAAGCGAAAGUGACGGUACUUGCAGAAAAAGCGCCGGCUAACUACGUGCCAGCCGCCGCGGAACAC
rnacentral:rRNA from 1 species